rnacentral:lncRNA from 1 species
GUAAGUGAAACAUUAACAGAAAAGGUAAUUACUACUAUCCCUCAUUGCUCAUCAUACCUCCAAUAUUUCUCCUUUAGAACAGUCCACUCACACAACCUGCUUCGAUGUCUUCCUAUUUGCAAAAGCACCGAAAGGAAAAAAUCACUAAUAUAUCUAAAAAUUAGUGAAAUCACACGAAGAUAAACUAUUAUAACUCUUAUACAUCAACAUAAUAGUGAACUUGCUACAAACCACUUUAACUCUUAUACCUUAUCAUGGUAGCUAAGUUGCUCCAGACCAGUUCCUGAGUAACCAUCCUACAAGAAGCAGCUUCUACUUCAGCAUAUCCAUCACAUACUUGAACAGGUAAGCCAUAGUCUCUUGCUGCAUAACCGCCGAUAUGUUUGCAGACUUCUACAGAGCUUUACUGACUACGCUGACUCUUCAUCUUCCACCUGCAAGUGUAUAGUAUUUGGAUGCAGGUAACAAAACUGUCGAGCUAAGCCACAUAGGCUACAAGAGAGAAGGAUUAAUUAGUUGAUUAAGAGUUGGCUAUAAGAGAGACCUGAAAAGAGAAAGAAGGCGGGUUGUCAAGAAGGGUGUUGCCCGGAGGCAUUGUGGAGGAGGGCCGUGGCGGAAAUCCCAAACUGUUCCUGUGGGUGUGAGUUCUGCUCUGCUCUGACGUCAAAAUCAUUGUGUGAUCCUGUAGGCCCUGAAUCUUAU